UACGUAGGGACCGAGCGUUGUCCGGAUUCAUUGGGCGUAAAGAGCUCGUAGGCGGCUGCUCAAGUCGAAUGUGAAAACUCGAGGCUCAACCUCGAGCCUGCAUUCGAUACUGGGCGGCUAGAGUCUGGUAGGGGGAUCUGGAAUUCCUGGUGUAGCGGUGGAAUGCGCAGAUAUCAGGAGGAACACCGAUGGCGAAGGCAGGUCUCUGGGCCAUAACUGACGCUGAGAAGCGAAAGCAUGGGGAGCGAACAGG
rnacentral:rRNA from 1 species